CUACUGGGUCAGCGCCAUCUUGUCAGCAACAGGUGAGGAGGCAGCUGCAAACAGCGAUCAAAAGAAUUCAUCUAGCUCCAAGGUCCUCUUGUUUGCUCACAAAUAUCAUUCCGAUCCUAUACGAGCGAGAUAUAAGGGCAGCAGUUCCUACAGGCACCCAACGAGCCAGAGAUGUCAUUCUACAGUAGCAAAGCGCUGCAGCUGAUGGAUGUAUCAAAUUGAAUGCCCGGAUCCAGCUGUACAAGGAGAAGUACGUCAGAAAUCUGCACAAUAGAUCUUGUACACAAGUACUUUAAA
rnacentral:lncRNA from 1 species